rnacentral:rRNA from 1 species
AGCAGCAGCCGCGGGAAUACGUAGGGUGCAAGCGUUAAUCGGAAUUACUGGGCGUAAAGCGUGCGUAGGCGGUGAGUUAAGUCUGCUGUGAAAUCCCCGGGCUCAACCUGGGAAUGGCAGUGGAUACUGGCUCGCUAGAGUGUGUCAGAGGAUGGUGGAAUUCCCGGUGUAGCGGUGAAAUGCGUAGAGAUCGGGAGGAACAUCAGUGGCGAAGGCGGCCAUCUGGGACAACACUGACGCUGAGGCACGAAAGCGUGGGGAGCAAACAGGAUUAGAGACCCCUGUAGUCCCUGUCUCUUAUAC